rnacentral:rRNA from 1 species
AUUGAACGCUGGCGGCAGGCCUAACACAUGCAAGUCGAACGAGUGGCGCACGGGUGAGUAAUGUCUGGGACACUGCCUGAUGGAGGGGGAUAACUACUGGAAACGGUAGCAAAUACCGCAUACCAUCGGAUGUGCCCAGGUGGGAUUAGCUAGUAGGUGGGGUAAAGGCUCAUCUAGGCGACGCACCGUAGCUGGUCUGAGGGGAUGACCGGCCACAGGGGAACUGGGGAACGGUCCAGACUCCUACGGGAUGCAGCAGUGGGGAAUAUUGCACAAUGGGCGCAAGGCUGAUGCAGCCAGGCCGCGUGUAUGAUGAAGGCCUUCGGGUUGUAAAGUACUUUCAGCGUGGAGGCGUUACCCGCAGAAGAAGCACCGGCUAACUCCGUGCCAGCAGCCGCGGUAAUUC